rnacentral:rRNA from 1 species
AACCCUGACGCAGCAACGCCGCGUGGGUGAUGAAGGUCUUCGGAUUGUAAAGCCCUGUUUUCUGGGACGAUAAUGACGGUACCAGAGGAGGAAGCCACGGCUAACUACGUGCCAGCAGCCGCGGUAAUACGUAGGUGGCGAGCGUUGUCCGGAUUUACUGGGCGUAAAGGGUGCGUAGGCGGAUGUUUAAGUGGGAUGUGAAAUCCCCGGGCUUAACCUGGGGGCUGCAUUCCAAACUGGAUAUCUAGAGUGCAGGAGAGGAAAGCGGAAUUCCUAGUGUAGCGGUGAAAUGCGUAGAGAUUAGGAAGAACACCAGUGGCGAAGGCGGCUUUCUGGACUGUAACUGACGCUGAGGCACGAAAGCGUGGGUAGCAAACAGGAUUAGAUACCCUGGUAGUCCACGCCGUAAACGAUGGAUACUAGGUGUAGGGGGUAUCAACUCCCCCUGUGCCGCAGUUAACACAAUAAGUAUCCCGCCUGGGGAGUACGGUCGCAAGAUUAAAACUCAAAGGAAUUGACGGGGGCCCGCACAAGCAGCGGAGCAUGUGGUUUAAUUCGAAGCAACGCGAAGAACCUUACCUGGACUUGACAUCCCUUGCAUAGCCUAGAGAUAGGUGAAGCCCUUCGGGGCAAGGAGACAGGUGGUGCAUGGU